rnacentral:rRNA from 1 species
AGAGUUUGAUCAUGGCUCAGGAUGAACGCUAGCUACAGGCUUAACACAUGCAAGUCGAGGGGAAACGAGUAUUGGAAGCUUGCUUCCGAUAGGCGUCGACCGGCGCACGGGUGAGUAACACGUAUCCAACCUGCCGUCUACUCUUGGACAGCCUUCUGAAAGGAAGAUUAAUACAAGAUGGCAUCAUGAGUCCGCAUGUUCACAUGAUUAAAGGUAUUCCGGUAGACGAUGGGGAUGCGUUCCAUUAGAUAGUAGGCGGGGUAACGGCCCACCUAGUCUUCGAUGGAUAGGGGUUCUGAGAGGAAGGUCCCCCACAUUGGAACUGAGACACGGUCCAAACUCCUACGGGAGGCAGCA